GCCGAAGUGGCGGAAUGGCAGACGCGCUAGGUUCAGGACCUAGUAAGGGAAACCUUGUGGGGGUUCAAGUCCCCCCUUCGGCA
rnacentral:tRNA from 1 species